CCUACGGGCGGCAGCAGUGAGGAAUAUUGGUCAAUGGACGAGAGUCUGAACCAGCCAAGUAGCGUGAAGGAUGACUGCCCUAUGGGUUGUAAACUUCUUUUAUAUGGGAAUAAAAUGUUCCACGUGUGGGAUUUUGUAUGUACUAUAUGAAUAAGGAUCGGCUAACUCCGUGCCAGCAGCCGCGGUAAUACGGAGGAUCCGAGCGUUAUCCGGAUUUAUUGGGUUUAAAGGGAGCGUAGGUGGGUUGUUAAGUCAGUUGUGAAAGUUUGCGGCUCAACCAUAAAAUUGCAGUUGAUACUGGCAGUCUUGAGUACAGUAGAGGUAGGCGGAAUUCGUGGUGUAGCGGUGAAAUGCUUAGAUAUCACGAAGAACUCCGAUUGCGAAGGCAGUUCACUGGACUGCAACUGACACUGAGGCUCGAAAGUGUGGGUAUCAAACAGGAUUAGAUACCCUAGUAGUC
rnacentral:rRNA from 1 species